GGGGGCGUACCGGCUUCGACGGGGAUGUCGAUGUACGGACAGCGCGUCGUGGCGCCCAUGGCCACGUAAAAAUGGGCAAUCCUGCAACUGCGAACGAUAACAACGCUGUUGCUCUCGCUGC
rnacentral:tmRNA from 1 species